rnacentral:rRNA from 1 species
UACCAGCACCCCGAGUGGUCGGGACGAUUAUUGGGCCUAAAGCAUCCGUAGCCGGUUCUACAAGUCUUCCGUUAAAUCCACCUGCUUAACAGCUGGGCUGCGGAGGAUACUAUGGAGCUAGGGGGCGGGAGAGGCAAGCGGUACUUAGUGGGUAGGGGUAAAAUCCGUUGAUCCAUUGAAGACCACCAGUGGCGAAGGCGGCUUGCCAGAACGCACUCGACGGUGAGGGAUGAAAGCUGGGGGAGCAAACCGG